rnacentral:tRNA from 1 species
GGCACAGUAGCCUAAUGGUUAGUGUGCUGGACUCUCAAUUGAGAGGUCUGGGUUUGAGCUCUGGCUGGUGUUG